GUUCAGCUUCUUUCUCUCUCCUGCCUCUUAAAAAGAUGCUAUUCCUGUGAUUAAAACCAUUACAGUCCUUCAAAGGUUAUACAUGGCUUUCAGGUGUCAGCCUCAAUAAAAGCAGAGACAGAGUCUCACUUUAUCGCCCUCAGUAGAGCACUGUGGCAUCACAGCUCACAACAACCUUCAACUCCUGGGCUUAAGAGAUUCUCUUGCCUCAGCCUCCCGAGUAGCUAGGACUACAGGGCUGGGACAAUGGCUCAUGCCUGGAAUCACCAAUUUGGGACAUCAAGUCAGGAGGAUGUAGGAGGCCAAGAGUCCAAGAUUACGCUGGACAACAAAGUGAGACCUGACUCUACCAAAAAUAAUGGCAUGGUCUCAUUCUAUCCUUCACUGCAUCUCACUGCAGCCUGGAACUCCUGAUCUCAAGUGAAACAAUUCCUCUACCUCAGCCUCCUGAACAACUGGACUACAAUUGACCCAACAAACAAGGUCAGGCAAUCCUAGAAAAAAAUGCUACAUACUUCAUUGCUGAAUAUCACACUUUCCCCUUUAAAGUACUCCCCUUGGGACGGUGAGCAUUGCUGCCAACACCUAGUCCACCCUUCAAAGCACUUUG